rnacentral:tRNA from 1 species
GCCUCGGUAGCUCAGCCUGGCAGAGCGAUUGCCUCGUAAGCAAUAGGUCGCGAGUUCAAAUCUCGCCCGAGGCU